ACCUCUUAGUGGGGGAUAACGGUUGGAAACGACCGCUAAUACCGCAUACGCCCUUCGGGGGAAAGAUUUAUCGCUAAGAGAUGGACCCGCGUUGGAUUAGAUAGUUUGUGAGGUAACGGCUCACCAAGUCAGCGAUCCAUAGCUGGGUUGAGAGGAUGAUCAGCCACACUGGGACUGAGACACGGCCCAGACUCCUACGGGAGGCAGCAGUGGGGAAUAUUGGACAAUGGGCGCAAGCUUGAUCCAGCCAUGCCGCGUGAGUG
rnacentral:rRNA from 1 species